GCAAGUCGAGCGGUACAGAGAGUAGCUUGCUACUUUGCUGACGAGCGGCGGACGGGUGAGUAAUGCUUGGGAAUAUGCCUUUACGUGGGGGACAACAGUUGGAAACGACUGCUAAUACCGCAUAAUGUCUUCGGACCAAAGGAGGGGACUCUUCGGAGCCUUUCGCGUAAAGAUUAGCCCAAGUGGGAUUAGCUAGUUGGUGGGGUAAUGGCUCACCAAGGCGACGAUCCCUAGCUGGUUUGAGAGGAUGAUCAGCCACACUGGGACUGAGACACGGCCCAGACUCCUACGGGAGGCAGCAGUGGGGAAUAUUGCACAAUGGGCGAAAGCCUGAUGCAGCCAUGCCGCGUGUGUGAAGAAGGCCUUCGGGUUGUAAAGCACUUUCAGUCGUGAGGAAGGGGUAGUAAUUAAUACUUACUAUCUUUGACGUUAGCGACAGAAGAAGGACCGGCUAACUCCGUGCCAGCAGCCGCGGUAAUACGGAGGGUCCGAGCGUUAAUCGGAAUUACUGGGCGUAAAGCGUACGCAGGCGGCUUUCUAAGCCAGAUGUGAAAUCCCCGGGCUCAACCUGGGAAUGGCAUUUGGAACUGGGGAGCUAGAGUUUUGUAGAGGGUGGUAGAAUUUCAGGUGUAGCGGUGAAAUGCGUAGAGAUCUGAAGGAAUACCAGUGGCGAAGGCGGCCACCUGGACAAAAACUGACGCUCAUGUACGAAAGCGUGGGGAGCAAACAGGAUUAGAUACCCUGGUAGUCCACGCCGUAAACGAUGUCUACUAGUUGUCUGUGAGUUUAACUCGUGGGUAACGCAGCUAACGCAUUAAGUAGACCGCCUGGGGAGUACGGCCGCAAGGUUAAAACUCAAUGAAUUGACGGGGCCCGCACAAGCGGUGGAGCAUGUGGUUAAUUCGAUGCACGCGAGAACCUUACCUGCCCUUGACAUACUGAGAAUUACCAGAGAUGUUAGUGCUCGGGACUCAGAUACAGUGCUGCAUGCUGUCGUCAGCUCGUGUCGUGAAUGUAGGUUAGUCCCGCAACGAGCCAACCUAUCUAAUUGCAAGCACGUAUGCUGCACUCUUAGAACUGCGGUUAACCUGAGAAGUGAGACUGAGCU
rnacentral:rRNA from 1 species